rnacentral:lncRNA from 1 species
GUUAACCUAGUUUGUUUUUCUAUGUUAGUUACAAGAAGGAAAUAAAUAAAUUAUCAAAACUACAAGGGUUGAACUUGUACAUUUUAAUUAAAGUUUGGUUAAGUAGUGGAAGAUCACAAACAUCAGACAUAAGUCUGAUGUUGGUGUCGAUGCAAGCCAAGGGCCAAGAAGGGUUUCUCAUGAUGAUGAAAUGUUGAAGAAUUGAAGCAAAAUCCAGCCUUAAUUCUCUUGCAUGUGUAGAGAUUCUACAUCAAAAAGCUAUAUGAAACAUGUGGAACGUGUCAAGGAGAGCUCAAGCAUAGGAGGAUAACGGGUCAAGAUAAGGCAAGGUGACAAAUACACUUAUUGGAGUACUCAAGGUUAUGAAUGUCGGACUUUCGAAGUGUUGAUAUAAUAAUGAAACGGUUGAAUGUUGAAAGGAUAAUCGGAUUGAAGUAACUUAUGCGGUUAGAAUAUGCUAUGGACGUUUUAGUUUAUACAACAUUUUAUGUUUGGUCGUCAUCAUCUACCAACGGGUAAAUCCUCAAUUCAGGCGACUUGGAGAAUCGGAGCGAGCGCGUGUUCAUGUUAUGUC